rnacentral:misc_RNA from 1 species
GAUGAAGAACGCAGCGAAAUGCGAAAAGUAGUGUGAAUUGCAGAAUUCAGUGAAUCAUCGAAUCUUUGAACGCACAUUGCGCCCGCCAGCACUCUGGCGGGCAUGCCUGUUCGAGCGUCAUUUCAACCAUCAAGCCCCAGGCUUGCGUUGGAGCCCUGCGGCUGCCGCAGCCUCCUAAAAGCAGUGGCGGGCUCGCUAUCACACCGAGUGCAGUAGAUUACUCUUCGCUCAGGGCGUGCAGCGGGUUCCGGCCGUGAAACCCCCUACUUUUAAAGGUUGACCUCGGAUCAGGUAGGAAUACCCGCUGAACUUAAGCAUAUCAAUAAGCGGAGGA